GCUAGAAUGGGUUCUUGGCCAGAUGGACUUUCAGAGCAAAUCUCGAAUUUGCCAGAAGUACGUCUGGGUUUUUCCCAGGCUAAAGUUUCCCAGUGAUG